AAAUUACCUGAUUCCGCUGGCCCACUCUGAGACGAACGCACGACCACUGACGCAAGGCGAGAGGCGGGACAUCUGAGAUCCGGCCAAUUGCCUCUCACUGCUGCCACUUAGGCCACGCCCCUUCCCGCGCCUGCGCGAUAAUUGGUGGCUGGUACGGUUCUGGGGCUGGGACGCCCGGUGUUAGCUAAAGUUUGUAAGGUCAGUGCCCUCUGACCCCGCCUUCGGACUUCCUCUUUAGACAGCGGAGUCUUGCCCUUUGCCCUUUGCCCUUUGCCAGCGGGAAGCCGUAAGCCACCACGGGACUCGAACAUCCGAAGAACAGAGUACUGUGUGUACGCGCUUAAUGUAUUCGGUAAUGCUACCAGGAAAAAAAUGGAAAGAUGUAGCUUAUGUGUCCUAUAGGACAUAGCUGCUUGAAACUACUGUCAUGUGGCCAUGGUGGUGCACACCUAGUCCCAGCACUUGGGAGACUGAGGUAGGAAGAUCAUUUCGAGUUCAAGACCAGCCUGAGCUACAAAAGUGAGUUCAAGGCCAACCUAAACUACAUAGCAACUUUGUCUCCAAAAACAAAGCCUAACAAAACUUCUAUCAUGUACUUUAUACCAUGGGUUGUUCUCACAGCUGAGUGUGACUGUUGUACACAACUAAAAGACUAAAUCACAAGUUCAGGGCCUCAUACCACAAGGCAACAGCAAACUAAACUGAAAACAUUCCCCGCUCAAGAGACAUGGACCCUCAAGCCCUCAACUAUUGGAAAACUUUCCUUUAGUUUGGAAGAAUAUGUUUAUAGGAAAAUAAUAAUAUUAUAGAGAUCUCAAAGAAAGUUAUAUUAUCAUGGGAUCAGAAUAUCUCUGCCAAGUAUGGUGGCACACAACUUUAAUCCCAGCUGUUUGGGAGACUGAGACAGGGAUCGCAAGUUCGAGGGCAGCCUAAGCAAAACAGUAGAAUCCCAUCUCAUAUAAAUCAAAGCAAGAGUUUUUUCUAGGCACCCAAGUACACUAGUGUUUUAUUUAUAGUAGGGAAACUAUGAAUACUGAUGCUUAAAUUAUUCUGCAAUACCAGCUCAUCUAAAAUCCUUUCAUUUAGUAUGAUCUUACAGUAUACAACUUUUAAAAAAAUAAAUAACAUGGGAUAUAUCUCCAUCUUUUUAUUUAUCCAGUUCUAGCUGAGCACACACUCCAUGGCCUUGCAUUGUUGGAUUGUCUCUUCUUAUCUCGUCCAACAGCACUUCUAGUUUGUAAGCAGAGAGUUCGUGAGCAGAGAAGGAAGGGGGAAAAAAACCCAAAAUAACGUGUGAUAAUAGAAAAGUAAAACCAAAUCAUUUAGCACAGAGUAAAGCAUAAUGAUCAAUUGAAUUGCCAAUGGAAAACAGAACCAAUUGAGAUGACAGAGAAUAAAUGGACCAUUUUAAAAUGGGUUGUUUAUUGAAGCUAAUUUAAAUUCUUAAGAUUUUCAAUCAGAUUGCAGAAAGUACCCAUUACAUAAUAAUCUCUAUCCUUGUGAAAACUGCCCUGGGAGAACAAAUACCAAUUCAUUAUUUCUUUAUUCAGAAGACUCAAAUAGGAUCACUUGUAAAGUAUAUUGUUGAGGGAGUUUAUAAGAUGAAAAUGAAUUCUUAGCUACACAAGAGAAGAUGAGUACAUUAGGGAUCUACAGAGAAACAAACUAAUAAUACUUUAAUAUUAAUUUGUUAAUUAAUAAUGAAUUGACUCAUGUGAUUAUAGAAGCUAGUAAGUCCAGAAUCUGCAGAGUCAGCGUCCUAGUUGGAGUCUGGAGCCCAGAAGCUGGUAUAGACCCGGAAAAAGCUAAUGUUCCUGUUUAUUCUCCAGAUCAAAAGCAGAUAGCAGAAUGCUCUCAUUUGAAGACAGGGAGAUAACAUGGAGCAUCAUGAGCUUUUGUUCUGCUCAGGCCGUCAGUGGACUGGAUGAGACCCACCAACACUAUGGAAGACAGUCUUCUUUAAUCUGCUCUUUUAAACUUGUCAUGGUUUAGAUCUAAAGUGUUCCCCAAAGUCUCAUGUGUUCAGGUUUGAGGCUUUUGGAAGGUGACUGGAUCAUAGGGUGCUAUACUUAAUCAAGUGGCUGAAUCCUUUGAUGAGUUCUGUUAGGAAGUUAGGAAGUCCCAGUUGGAGAAGGUAGGGCACUGGCAGGCCUUUAGGGGGUUUAUCUCUUGACCAGGCUUUUCUGUUCUCUGUGCUCUUGGCUACCGUGGGUUGAGCAGCUUUCCUCUGCCAGGCCCUUCUGUCAUGCAGCCAAUUGCACAUGAACUGAACUCUCUGAAACUGAGUCAAAAUGAAUUUUUCUUUCUUCCCUUAAAUUGUGGAUGUUAUGGAUUUUGUCCCUGCGAUGGUAAAGCCAAUACAAAUAUUGAUUGCAUCCAAGAUUACACAGAGCCCUGCAAUAAUGUUUGACCAAAUAUGUAGAUACCCUGUGUGCCCCAGUCAACUUGACACAUAAAAAUAACCAUCAUAAUGGGGAAUUAAAGGCCUAUCUGUACCUUGAUAAAGAAGGGUUUGGAUGCCUAUAGAGUAAGAAGGCCUCCGAGUACACUGUAUGGUCCAUGAUCAAUUGACUGACAGGUUAGAAGGAACAUCUGCUGUCUUACCCUUGUUAAGACAUACCCCACACACACACACACACACACACACACACACACACACACACACACACAAAGAACCAAAACAUUAAAACUUUGCAUUGAGAUAAAUGCUUGCAACUGUUUUCUAAUGACAGACAUUAGAUGGAACAGAUAACUUUUUAUGUAAUUUGGAUGAAAACCUUAACUAACAAACACACUAAAGUUAAUCUGAUCUGAGGCCUGGAAUAUCCUACUUUAUGCUGGUGUGGGUAAAUUUGGUAUUCUGAUAGUUUAUAUUUUAAGCAAAAUAAAGGAGCUACACUGUCAAGAUACUUUUUUCCUAAAUUGGGCAUGGUGGCUCGUGCCUGUAAUCCCAGCACUUGGGAGGCUGAGGCAGGAGGAUCAUAGCACGUUCAAGACCAGCCUAGGCUACAAAGUGAACUCAAGGCCAGCCUGAACUGCAUAGACAGACCCUGUCUCAAAAAGACCAAAAAAAGAUACUUUCUUUUCCUUUUCUCUCUUUUUUUUUUUUUUUUUUUUUUGAGACAAUGUCUCAUUGUGCCAUUCAGGCUAACCUUGAACUCAUUUUGUAGCCCAGGCUGGCCUUGAAUUCACAGUGAUCCUCCUGCCUCAGCCUCCCAAGUGAUGGGUUCACAAGUGUGUACCACUAAACCUGGCCUAACAAUCUUAUUUUACACAGAAGGGAAUUAGGUUUUUUGCCCGAGCUGCCAUGAUAAAGUACCAUAGAGGGAAAAUUUAAACAACAGAAGCAUAUUGUCUCACAGUUCCUAUGACGGGGAAUUUAAAAUCAAAAUGUUGGUAGAGUUAGUUUCAGCCUGACACCCCUCUCCACUCCUCCAGCCAGAGGGAGACCCUGCUGCCUUCCAAAGAAUGGUCAGAAAAAGCCCUCCAGGAGGGCAAAGAUCAGAGAGGCAGCCCUUUGUGGGGCUAGGCUGCAGAGCUCCAGAACAGGCGUGGAGAACAGUAGCAUCUGGCAGUGGCAGUAAUCAGGGUGGGUAACUGGUAUUGCCUGGCACCCAGAAACAGCAAAGACCGGUGUCAUUAACAGGCAGUGACCAUUGCCUUUCACAGCCAACAGUGAAGCAAGACAACUGCUAGUGGUUGGGGGAGGGGAGGCGGAGGAGGCUCAGGGUUACCCAGCCACGGGCUCUAGAACCCUAGAUAACUGUUGAAGGUGAAGUCCUGGCUCAUGAGGUGUUGAGGGACUCUAGCUUAGAGUCCCAGAGGCAUAACACCGUGGGCUGAGAUCCCAUGGCAGAGCUGUGUGUUGCUGAUUGGCAAUUUUUAUCUAAAUCAAAGAGAGCCUUCAUCUGAUUGGGAACAUGCGGAGUUAGGGCUUAAGCGUGUGUACCUGGCAACAACUUAACCUUAAGAGAGAGCUUCAGUUUUCCCAGUCUACCCUUCCUAACUUUGAUCUUCACCUGUGAGUGGUAGUAGAUAACAUAAACUGCGAUUCAGCCUAGGUGGUUCUGCCUCCUGGCUGACCUUUUUAUGUAUGGCCUUUGUAUUUCAACUUCAUUGCAUUUGAAGUAUGCUAAGCAGCUCCUACAUUUUAAAAUUUCUCUCAGAAGAAUCAUGUCCUUUUUAUUAUAUUAUUAUUACUGAAAUUAGUGAUUUCUGAGUAAGUUAAAGUAUAUUAAAUCCAGUUUGGAUGAGAGCGAGAGAAAGAGAAGGGAUUGAACCCAGGACCUGUACCCGUGAGUUACACUGCCAACCCUUUUUAUUUUGGAUAGUUUUGCUAAGUUUCCCAAACUGGCCUUGAACUUGUAAUUCUGCUGCCUCAGCCUCCUGAGUAGCUAGGAUUGAAGGUAUGUGCCAUCAUGCCCAGUUUAAAUUGUUUUGACAUUAGGCAUCAUUCUUCUCAGGAAGGGCUGUUCUCUCUAGUAAUAUUUGUGAACAUACAGGAUAUAUUCCAAGCAAGUUUCUCAGAAAACGUUUUGGAUAGUGUAGAUAUAAUACAGGAAACAUAGUUUUAUUCAUUGGAUGUUAGGGAAAGUGGAGGAUCACAAAAUGAUAAAGUGAAAAUAUAAUGAAUAAUGAAUGAAAAUAAUAGUGUAUGUGUUAGAAACCAAUUUUGAAAAAAUCUUAGAAUAUAGGAAAUGUGUGUGCCUGAGUGUCAGAGAACUUGCCUAACAUGUGCAUGGCCCUGGGUUCAAUCCUCAGUGCGUGUGUAUGAAUCUGGCUAAAAGGAAAAUGGCCCAACUUGUGUUCAGAAAGGAGAAAGAAUAGGGCUGGGGAUGUUGCUCAGUGGUGCAGCACCUGUUUGUCAAGUACAAGGUGCAGAGUUCAAUUGCUGGUUUCAAACUAAAAAAAGAGAAAGACCCCAGGGUAUAUGGUUCCUCGAUACCAGAGAAAUUUGGUCAAGGAAGCCCUCCUGCCUUUUCCCAAACCUCUGAGGAAUAGGUUUCUGGCAGACUUCAGAGAACUCUGUUCUACCUUGGGAAGAUAUUGUAUCAGUUAUCACAGGGUCCUUUGGUGAGUCAAGUAUCAGGUGUCAUGGAACACAAGAUACCAACUGUUGGGCGCAGGCGCUCAACAUACCAUACCCCGCCCGGGACUAAGGACCACGUUUAGCUUCCGCAAUGCGCUACGUCCCUCUCCAAAUUAGCCACCCCGUGCGCACCUCGUGCUCACUCCGUAUUCGCCCCGUGCUGGCUCUGUGGCAACCCUUGAUUGACCACAGCUGGGUAUAUUGGCCAGAGCCCGCGUUCCAUCCCAACCCUGCCUCCUUGUGGCAGCCUGUGAUUGGUCACGGCUGAAUGUAUAAGCCAGAGCCCGCAACAAUAAAGCGGCAGUUACCUGUUACCCACAA